GUGGGCCUAUGGCGAACACUUGCAGAUUACUGAUCAUUUUGGGAUGAACUCCUUGCGUGGUCUGUAAACAAACGCAACGCAGCUCUCUCAACACAGCAGCGGCAGGACCAGCUGGGGAAGAAAGAGAGACACCCUUUAUAGGGCAGGUUGCUGGGAGAGUUCCCUGGAACGCAGCGACCCCGCAGAGGCUGGGAUGCACCUCUGUGCCCGAGUGCGAGUGCGUCCCGCGCGCCAUGCGCUCUCACCGCUGGCGAUGGGCCCUGGCUGCGUCAGCAGCAGCAGCAGCACCAACAGCGCGCACAAGGAGCUCGAAGGACCGGGGACACGGGCCGCGCGGCUGGACAGGAGGCUCAUAGUGGUCAAGAGAGCGCUGCGAGCGGUCGCGGGUUCCUGAACUGGGUGGAGGAGCGGAGAUUGGAGGAGCGAAGAUUGGAGGAUCCGGAGCACUGUGGCUUCCUCGUGCCUUCUGCACUCCUUUUAUCUACACUCAUCUCUCCCCACUGACAGGAAACUCAAGCUUUGGGAUGCUGGGGAAAUUCCCUGAACUCAUGGGGCAGUGUGGAAAGAAGAGGUUGGGGGAGGGGGGCCAGACAAUGGGAACUGGUGGGGAGGGUGGCCAGGAGGAGCUGCGUGCACCUCUACCGAGAGGGACGUUGUAACCCUGCUCCGCGGUGGAGGGAGCUGUGGCUCCAGCUAGAAGGGAGUAGCUAUUCAGCAGGAUUCAGCAGGGCCUCAUGGCCUGUGCCAGAGCGGGCUAGGGAUGCCGGCUUUUCUGAGGCACGCAGCCCUCUGGGAGAUGCUCCUCCUCUCCUUCUAGAGAGAAAAGGUGGAACCAAAGUAACAGGAGCCUUGAUUUGAGAAAAAUUUCUGAAAGUCAAUCCUUUCUAAUUAUUAUUACUAUUAAUCAGGAAAUGUUAUUCAUGUUUGAAUUGCUAUAAACUGAAAGUCCUUCCUGUCUUCCUUGCAGGCAGGUCAUUCUAGGUUUCUUGAAUGACUUUAUGAAUCUCUGGACUUCAACCAGCUUUGGAAGCCAAGAUAACAUGAUAACAAGAGACCCUUGUCUCUUGCCACUUGAAGUCAGUGGCCUGAAAGGACCACUGAAUUUUGUUAACUCCCCUACAGAUCACCUACUUUGAAAAUCCAUGCUUUUUCCAUUCAUUCUCUUCUCCAGAGGAAAUUGCUGUUCUGAUUUUUAGUUUUGCCUACUCUUGAACUUUUUAAAAACGGAAUCAUCCAAUGUGUACUCUUUUAUGCCUGGCUUUUUUUUGCUCAACUUAAUGUCUGUGAGAUUCACACAUGUUAUUGUGAAUAUUAGUAGUAUACUUUGUAUUCAAUUAAAUAUUCAUUGAAUAAUUCAAAUUAAGCAUUCAAUUGUAGAAAUAUAUGCAGGUUUAUUUAUUCAUUCAUCUGUUGUUGGACAGUUGGGUCAUUUUCAAUAGUUUGACUAUUAUGAAGUGGCUGUAAACAUUAUUAUAUAAGUCUUUUUGCACAUCAUAGGAAAAGAUUGCCAUAAAAUUAUUGUCACUCUUCCUAUUGAGAUGUGGCACCUAUGUUUCAUACCCGUGAAUCUGAACUGGCCCUGUGGCUGGUUUUGAUCAAUAUAAUUUGGCAGAACUGAUGCUGUGUAACUUGUGCAAGGAUAUCUACAGCUUCCACCUUGGUCUUUUGGAAUGAUUCUUCUUGGAACCCAACCCCUGUGCUUUGAGAAGCCUGAGCUAUGUGUAGAGGCCGUAUGGAAGAGAACCAAGGCACUCCAGCUGAUGGGCCUCACUGGGCUCCCAGCUGAGAGCCAGCACCAACCUGCAACCGUGUAAGCAAUCGUCUUGUACUUUCCAACCUAGUCAAAUUUCAGAUGUCUGCAACUCCAGCCACAUGGAGCAAAAGAUUCACAGAGAUGAGUCCAGUCCCCUAUCAACCCAGAUAAUCCUGAGACAAUAAAUAGCUAUUGUUUUAACCCA